rnacentral:sRNA from 1 species
AUCGUAAAACCUGAUGACUUUGCCCUUCCGGAGGUUGGGAUAGCCGUUUCAGCUGAAAUGCUGCGGGAGAGAUUGAAAUCGAAGCUCAGGGUGAUC